CCUACGGGUGGCAGCAGUGGGGAAUAUUGGACAAUGGGCGAAAGCCUGAUCCAGCCAUGCCGCGUGUGUGAAGAAGGCCUUCGGGUUGUAAAGCACUUUCAGUGGGGAAGAAAGCCUUGGGGCUAAUACCCUCGAGGAAGGACAUCACCCACAGAAGAAGCACCGGCUAACUCCGUGCCAGCAGCCGCGGUAAUACGGAGGGUGCGAGCGUUAAUCGGAAUUACUGGGCGUAAAGCGCGCGUAGGCGGCCUGAUAAGCCGGUUGUGAAAGCCCCGGGCUCAACCUGGGAACGGCAUCCGGAACUGGCAGGCUAGAGUGCAGGAGAGGAAGGUAGAAUUCCCGGUGUAGCGGUGAAAUGCGUAGAGAUCGGGAGGAAUACCAGUGGCGAAGGCGGCCCUCUGGACUGACACUGACGCUGAGGUGCGAAAGCGUGGGUAGCAAACAGGAUUAGAUACCCUUGUAGUC
rnacentral:rRNA from 1 species